rnacentral:rRNA from 1 species
GAUCCUGGCUCAGGACGAACGCUGGCGGCGUGCUUAACACAUGCAAGUCGAACGUGAUUUUUAUGGAAGAACCUUCGGGGACGGAAGUAAAAUGAAAGUGGCGAACGGGUGAGUAACACGUGAGCAACCUACCUUACACAGGGGGAUAGCCGUUGGAAACGACGAUUAAUACCGCAUGAGACCACAAUACUGCAUGGUAUAGGGGUCAAAGAUUUAUCGGUGUAAGAUGGGCUCGCGUCUGAUUAGCUAGUUGGAAGGG